CUCCUGGAAGGCGACCACCACGUACGGGGUCUUCUCGGCUGACUUCGCCAUGAUCUCGGCCAUGUUGAACGUCUCCGGGACCUUCUCCAGGAUCUCCUCCAGCACGGCCUUCACCUAGAGGUUUUGGGCCCCGCCCCUUCUCUGCCGCUGGGCGCCGUGUUGAGACUCCUGCCUUCUCCUCCCGAGAUACUCCGGUGCCUGCUCCUGAGUCGGUCUCUUUGGGCUGCAUUUCCAGGACCGUGCGGAACAGUUUCUCUGAGGUGACUGUCAGAAAGCCGAUCUCUGCAUUGGGGUGCAGGCCGUACAGGUAGGGACUCUCGGGGGGCAGGUUCUCAUUGAUGUACUCGUGGUAACCCUGCAGAGGGGCGGUCGGUGAACAGGGCUGCCAAGGAACCUGUGUCUGCCGUAGACGAAGCAUUUCUGACCAGAAUGUUCCGCCCACGCCUUGCCCUCUGUACCAACCCCACUGGUUCUCUAACCCCCCCCACCCCAGCCACAUGAACGAAGCCUCCACGCCCCCUCCCCAGAGGCUGUGUUUCAAGCCGUCCCGGCCUUCUUGCUCAAUCGCUGAUACUCUGUCUGUGACGCCAGGCUGGCCCCCCGGAGCCGGCCAGGACAGACAGCAUUGCCCUUUGCUGCUGUUGCGUCACAGGGUACGUCCUGCAGAGCCGGCGGUCCCAGUCGUCCGUGAUGUGGCCGCCGUACAUGAUUUCUCCAAACAAGUAGCGUAGGUCGUCCCAGGGCACCUUAGGAAGGACGGAGGCGGUGAGGAGAAGUACCCCCUGCCCCAUUGGGGUUGGUAAGAACCGACAGUCGGCCAUCAGUGUGAGGUGAGGGCCGGCUCCUCCUGUCACCCCGUCGCCGCCCUGUCCGCUGCUCCGCAGGGUUACCAGGCCUCCCCUCCCGCCCCCCGCCCCGGCGGUGUCUCACCCGGAGGCCCGCCCCUCCUUGGCGGGAUCCCGCCUUCUCUGGCAAGGGCUGCCCAGCGGCUCCCCUCCGCCCACAGCCUGGCCUCUGUGUCCCAGGACGUCCCGCUCCGAGGCCUGCCCUGCAGCCCCAACUUGUGCCCUCGCUCGGGCCACCCUUGUGACCCCCUGCUCGGAAACGUGCAGCCACCCUUGACUCCUGACCAGAGCGGUUUAAUUCUGUGCUGACUGGGGGUGUGGACGCUCGGGUGCCGUUUCUGUUGGCCAGUCGGUCUGUGCAGUGUGUCCAUCCAGUGGGUCUUUCUUGCCGUCCCGCUGGGCUUGCCUGGCGCCGAGUUUCCCGGCUCGUCGCUCCUCGUGCUGCGUGUGCCCCGCGGGGCUUUGCAGCACCGGGAGCUUCAGCAGGGGAGCUCACCUGCCCAACCUGGGGCGUCUGACCUUAUGCUCAGCCCGGAACGCUCCUUUCCGCCGCCACUCACCAAGGCGACACCCGACUUCCGAAGCCAGCUCAAAUGCCGCCUCCUCCGGGAAGCCAGCAGGGGGUCGACGCCUGGGGAAAGGAUGAAGAAUAUCGGCGUGGAGGGGCUGCUCUCCUCGUAGGACUUGGAAAACUCAACGCUCCGGCCCUCCACAAAUUUGCUGCCCAUCUUCUCUUCCACGAAGUUCCUGAGGGAGACGCACUGGUCGGCCCCGAAGGCAGAGGGGGACAGGGUGGGCUGUGACCCCAGGGGGAAGGGCCAUUUCUUAGUAGGCUUUCUAAGGCAUAGGAUGUCCCUGGCCGGAAGGCAGUCCUUGCGGGGGCUUUCCUCGUUGCAGGGAGAGGGUGUGGAGGGGGAGCAGGUGCUGGCACCCCCUGUCUCUGCCCGGCCCUGCAGGGCACACUUCCCUGGAGAGGCCUGCAUGCGAGCAGGUGAGGCCAUGUCACACGGCCCAUUUUCAGAGGCUCCCAGGUCACCUGGGGGUGGGGUGGGGACACAAGCCCCAGUGGGGCCACAACCCAGGACAUCGCAGGUGAGCACGCCCCGGUGCCAGGAGGCCCCUGGGUCCUUCGAGCCCUCUGUGCCCCCAAGGAAGGGGUCAGGUCAAGUUCUCUGCUCCAGCAAGGGCGGCAAGAAGAACACAGAUGGGGCUCUGUGUCCUGGCGGUCCCCCGACCAGGGGUUGAGGAGGAAGGAUGGUCACAUCGUAGCCAUUUUGGUGAACUUCAAGGACCACAAAACAUGGUUCAUCAGAAAAAUCACAGGGGAAAAAAAAAAAAAAAGGAAUGUACAUCAAUACCUCUCUUCACAAAAGCACUUCUUUGUUCCAAGUCCCAAACUGUCUUUCUUGACCCUCAGAAGUCUGGGGUCCAUCGAGGCCCCUCUCAUGGGAGAUCUAGUGUUCUUUGUGGUGACCUUUGGAUCUCGCUCUGCCCUUCUCCCUGCAUCACCGAUGGCUGAGCUUACUGUAUUCUCAAUGAGUCACAGGAGCUAAAAUGCUAGGAUUCAGUGUCUUUAGAAGAAGCAAGUCAGUCCGAAAGAACAGUGGGAGAGGAGGUGCUCGCUCUCAAGCAGCCGGCCAUCUGGAUGCUCUGUCCUCAUCUUGGAGGACCGUCAGGUGGCCUCUUGGUGGCCUGCUCACUUGGAGGCCACCCCACGCCCUCUGACUCCUUCCCUCUGACUCCGUGGGGAACCUCGGAGGCUCAGGACUUUCCAGGGACACUUUUACAGUGUUCACCCCCUGCUCUGGCCUUCGCUGGCUUCUGUGCAGUUUCCCAAACUGACGCUGGCUCCUGGCCAGGAGGGGCGGGGGGGGGGCGGGGGCACGCCUUCCGAAGGCGUCCAGUUGUCCUCGAUUCCGGCCUUUGGAUCUGGCUGGGAAUGUGGAUGCUAGGAUCCUUGUCCAGGAAGGACUUCUGGAACGUAGGCAGGAAUGUCACUAAAUCACGGUUACUAAUGAUGUGGCCAGGCCACGUGGUCAUCCUCUGCUGGUGAAUUAACGAUGAACGGCGCACACUGGUUCCUGAUGGGCUCCGCCACUCUGGGUGCCGAGUCCUUGGCAGAGGAUUGCGGGAGCCCGCUCCCAGCCGCGACAGCCACAGUGGAGAAGCCACAUCACAGAAACUGCUGCAAACCAGGGCCUUUGUUGGGAGCGAUGUUUGCCGGCACCCCCACCCCCAGGUGCCGCCCUCUCUGGGCCAGUGAGCCUCGGGCCACGGGGGGGGCCCCCCCGAGUGAGCUCAUGCUUUGAAUGGUGCCUGGCACACAGUAUGCCCUCGAUGAGUGCUGCUGUUUUUCGCUGUGGAUUUGAAUUCCCUUGCUUUUAAGCUGCACUGCUUCUCUAGACCCAGGGACACUGCAGAAACGUCACAGCGGGAUUUGGGUUCACCUGGUGUUUGGGGCCGCCCAGGCCCCUGCAAGGUGCAGACGCUCAUGGGGUCCGAGUUCCUUCCUUCGUGACACCGUAUCGUGCCAUGUUGGAGAGUGGGCGCAGGUGGUGACUCACCACAGUGCUCUGGAGGCAGCCAGCGGGGACGCCCGAAUAUGUCCAGCUCCCCCAGGGGGCCGUGUGCCCGCUGUGCUGGCCGGGUGUGCGUCCUUCACCCUGACCUUUCCCGGACUUUGUUCCAACUUCUUCCAGCACGUGACGGGGAUUUCUUGUUUCUGUCUGGCCCCUUCCUGCCCUGCCCGUGAGCCCCCAGCAAACAGCAAAACAGAAAUGUCUGUGAACAGCCAGUGGCAGAGUCCGGCCGCUGCUUUGGUUGGAGGGGAGUUCUGUUAGGGACGCAGGCACCGUUUGGGGAAUCUGGCUGCUUUUGGGCUCUGCUAGGACAAACAAAAGGCAAAGACACCAUAAUGUGUCAUGUCGGAGAACAGACACUGAGCUUGGUUCCUUGUCUGCUCUGUCCUCCCUCCUUCUGGUGGCAUCUCCAUCCUCCCCGGUCGCCCUGGUGGGCAGGAGGGAAGUCCUCUCCGCUCCAGGGGAGGGUGGAUGGGACAUCUCAGGAGUCACCCGUGGGGGAUCGGUGCAGGUGUUCUGUGACGUUGUGGCUCCUGGAGCCUUUCUGCGAGAGGACAGUCCCAGCAGGGGCGUGAACGGGAUGGCUUGCCGAAAGGCCAUGGUGAUUAGUUUUCCAAUCGUGCAGAUGUUUCGGGGGCAGAUAAAUUAUUCACGAAAUUGGAACAGUUCUCUCUGCAAAGGAGCCAAAACUGAGGAAAAGAUUGAGCUUCAGUUUAGCCAGUGAGGGCAUCAAAGUCCUGGGGUGCUGAUGGCUGUGCCACUGUUCCCACUGCAUCUUAAAAGGACUCUGUGUGGCCCCAGAGCCAUUAACGCCCACACUUUGAAGAAUCUUGACGGCUCAGGUGGGGUGUCCUGUUUCCCCAUCACUUGUGCCUCAGGCUGGCAGGAGGAGGGGGCGGAGCGCCAGUGGGCGGGGUCCCCGUCCCUCCCACCCCCCCACAGGGUGGGGCCACAGGCAGCUCCUCCCCCACCCCGGGCGCCACGCCCACCUGACGGCGUAGGUCAUGCGGUCCGGCCGCAGGCAUCUCAGCACGCACAGCUUUUGCAGCGCAGUUUUGUUCUUCCACUCCUUGGGGAAGAUCUCCUUCUCCGGGGCUUCUGACUCCACCAGCUUCUUCCACCGCUUGGCGGACCCUUCGAUGUCGCCGUCCAGGUUCUUGAACUCAUCCAUCUCCGACAGGGCCUGGGGGCAGAUGGCCUUUCAGCUCCCCGGGGGCUGGCGGAGGGUGGGCCGCCUGGCUCGGCCCUGAAAGGAGCCGCUGGCUCCACUGUGGGCCCCGGAUAGAACCACGGAGCGCAUGACCCGGGGCCGGCCUCCUCCCCCCAGAGGCCUGUGGGACUGGGGCCGCUCCCACCGCAGGGGAACGGAGACCCCCGGGGCCCCUGAGUGCGUGUGCCCGGAAUCGGAGGAGCUUCCUUGGCCCUUUGCACUCAGCCAGAACGGGAGGUAGGGGUUGGUGGUGGAGGGGCCGCCCCGCCCGUGGCUCAGCCUGCGGGGUGCAGGCAGGGCUGUGUGCGGGUCGUAAGGACCACCGGGUUCAGACAGGAAAGUAGAGUUUCCUGCGAGCCGGCAGGUAGCCCUCUGCACCCCGGCCCCUCCUCCGGGGUCCGCUCCCCGCCCCGUUUCGCUGAAUGAUGUCCGCCUUGUAAACGUCCCCAGCGUGAGCCCCAGGGGCUGGGCGGCAGAGAGGGGACGCAGUGCUGGGGCCCGCAGCCCACCUUGAUGCCGCCCCAUCCCUGGUGCUGCAGGAAGUCCACCGGCGACAGGACCCCGGCCUUGAAAGGGAACCGCAGGAGGAAAUCCAGCUCUGCUGGGUUCAGCUCUUUCUUCAUGGACAAGACCUGGGGGGACAGGGGGGCCGCUCAGACGUCACCCCACAGCAGGCCAGGGCGGCCGCCAGCCCCUGGCAGGAGCACCUGGGACCUCGGUGGCGGACGUACAGACAGACCCAGGGCAGGCCGAGGAGCUCACACCCCUGGCCCGUCCUGCCCUCUGGGUCCGGCCAAGACUUUCUUUUCACCUUGACUUGUUGAUUUUUUAAAUUGUGGUAAAACACACAGGACACAAAAUGUACCGCCUUACCCCUAUUAAGGCGUAAAAUUUUCGUAAAAUCGUAUCACCUCUAUCUAGAAGCAGAGCUUUCUCUUCUUCUCAAAGGGAACCCCUGACCCUGUGCACAGCACCCACCCCCCCCCCCCCCCCACAGCCGGGGCCACUGGUGACCCCAGGGUCUAUGCUCUGUGUGGAUCUGCCCGUGCAGUGGAAUUCUGCAGAUGUGGCCCGCUCCCGUCAGCUUCUCUCACUCUGUCCUCCAGGUUCACCCACGUUGUAGCCAAAUGAUGUUCCGUCGUCGUGUGGAGAGACCACGUGUGGUUUAUCCACUCAUCCUCUGAUGGACGUUUGGGCCACAUCCACCUCGUGGCGAUUAUCAGCAGAGCUGCUGUGUUCGUAUACAAGUCAGUUCUUUGGGACACGUACAUCUCCGGUACGUAUACACAUACGUUUCGGGACGGGGAAUUUUCUGGGUCCUAGUCCGUGUCGCCUUGUCACGCGUGCCCACCAGCUCUGUGGGCGCCCAGCAGGCCGGGUCUCGGCCCUUGAGAGGUGGCUCGGCCCACUCCGUCCAUCUGGCCGGGGAGGUGGGGCCGCGGUCACUGCAGCGCCACGGACGGACGCCCGCGCAGCUCCUCUCCGACGCCACGGAGCAGAGUUUCACCCGAGUCAGACCCUCUCUCUCUUUUUCUUUCUGUCUCUUGGUCAGAAGAGAAACUCCUUUGGAAAUUUAGGGCGCGCAUCAAGUAUCCUGCUGCCCCCUCGGCGGGGAGAAAGCGCACGCCGGGCCUGCCGCUCAGGAACUCAUGCAGGUGAAGGAAAACCUCUUCGACCUGGACCCUGACUUGUAGUUUGAGUUUGGAAGGGAAGCAAACUUCCAGAAGCUAUCUAGAAAUUCGUGUUUUCUGCCACACCCAUGAGACCGUGAACCAGAGGGUAGAGGGGCUGUUUGAUCGAUUUAAUGGAACAAUUUAAUGGCUGUUUGGUCAAUUUCAGCGGGUCUGUCUGUAUGAACAGGAGAACUAUUUAUCCGUCAGUAUCUUUACUUCCUUAAGAGAUAGCGUUCGGCGUCCACGGUGGUUAUCCGCCCGCUGGCGCAGGACUGCUCGCUCGGCAUUAACGUAAAUGCGGUGAGAGUGAUGGGUCUUUGUAGAAUUCUGUUUAACGGACCUCCCCUCCAGUGGUUGCCACCUUACAACCGGGCCCCGUGUCAACAGAACCCCAAGCAGGUCCCCCAGCAUCGUUCGAUGACUCCAACGAACGCCAUCACCCGGGAAUCUGCGUUGCGGACCACACUUCGAGAAGGGAGGCCAGACUUGCCUGGAAGGCCACCUGGGCCAGGAAGAUGAGUUUGUCCCGUUCGAAGAGCCCGCGGGCCGUGUACAUGUAGACAGAUGACCGGGGGAGGCGGCCCCCCACGGAGGCGGCCGUGCGCGCUCACCUUCUCCUCGAUCUCACUGGCUGUGUGCUUGGUGGUCUCCAGAUUCUCCACUAAGGCUGUGUCCCCCAGGAAGUUCCCCGACGCCGCCGACAGACGGGCCAGCAGGGAAUCUUCCAGCUCUUUCAGAACAAUCUUGAAUUCAUUUUGAGACUUGGUGAGGUUGGCCUGCAGGAGGGAAAGACCGCGGGGCUGGGGGGCGGGCUCAGGCAACGGCCGGCGCUGCCCCCACCGCUCAGCUGAGGCCCCAGCACGGACGGGAGAAGCCUGAGCCUGUCCUGGGCAGCCGUGUGUGGCCAGGGAGCAGGGCCUGGGACCGCUCUGAGCCCGCUCUGACCACGCACAGGGGCCGGCCGCAAAGGCCAUGCUGGUGGGGCAGCGGUUUGGCGCAUGGGGCCGUCUGGGCACCGCUGAGGCUCCUCUGCCGUCAGUGAAUUAGUCGUCUGGUCUGGAAUUCGGUUUGGGAGGCCGCCGGGGAGGAAGAGCGGCUCGUUCUGGUGCACCUAAUGCCAUCGGUGCGACAGGCUGGGAUGCUUUGGGGCGGCCGCUGCUGGGUCAGGGAACCUCGCUGUGACUGAACAGCCCGCCCCGAGCCACGUGGGGCUGACGUCAGGCCCCGGUACCUUCAGCUGCUCGAGAUCCGGGCGCUCCUUGGCCACCACGGCAGCCAGGAGUUGGUCCUCGAGCCCGUCCCUGGUGACCAGGAAGUUGAUGAGGGUGCACUGGGCUUGCACCUCGGGCUUGUAGUGCGGGUUGAAGUACUUGGUGUGCAGGAUGAGGCGGAACUUGGGGUGAUACUCCACCUCCUUGUCGCCAAUCUUAAUGAACCUGGCCGUUAGGGGAGGCAGGUUAGAGCUGUGGUAUCACCCACAGAGACCACCUCCCAUAGCAGCCUGGCGGCCCCCUUGCCCCGGGCCCCACUGCCACCACCAACCCUCCUCGGGUCACCAGGAAAGGGCUGUGUCUCUGCUUGUUCCAGUCUUUCUCUCUGGCCUGUGGUCAGGACCUUCUAGAAGGUGCACCUGCUCUCUCUCUGGCUGGUUUGUGCCGAUCUUUAUAGCGGGGAUCGCGGGGCUUGGUCAACUCUAGUGACACUUUGUACUCACCCGGGAGCUGGCCCAGAACUACUCUCCCUGGGCCCCACCCCAGAGCCACGAACACCAGAAGGACGCUGACGUCCCAAUUCAGAACAUCAUUACGUUCUGGAAGCUCCCCCGGGGGUGAGGGGAGUCUGAGAACAGCCAGGGCCAGAACCUGGUCUGCUGAUCCACUGUGGGGGGACCUCUUCUCUCUGUUCCCCUCCUUUCUGGUUGAGCUCACUGCUUUGGAGGCUUCUAACUUCAACUCUCGGGUAUCACCACUCAUACCAAGCUCUUUUCAGAGGCUAGGACAUCAGCAUAUUUGUUUGUUACCUCUGUUCUGGGCUUCUGCACGCACCCCUGCAUUGAAGGGUGGCCCCUAACACCUUUGACGUUUACAUUUUCAAAGUUGACUUAAUUAAAAUUUUUUUAAUGUUUAUUUUUGAGAGAGAGAGAGAGAAACACCGACUGAGCCACCCAGGCACCCCUAAUAUUUUUUUAUAUUAGAAAAUAAUACCAGCUCAUUGCAUCAACCAGUGAAUGGAGGAACCGAAUGAGGCACAGCCACACUGCGGACGGUUACUGGGCAGUAAGAACGAUGAGGUCCUGACACACUACUGAACAGACGAGCCUUAAAGACACAGCUCAGGGAAAGCGGCCAGACCCAAAAGAGCCACGCCGCAGGACUCCCUUUAUGUGAAAUCCACGGAGCUGGAGGGCACAGUGGUGGGCACCAGGGCCUGGCCGGUGGGGGGAAUAGGGAGUGACCGCUUCGUGAGUACGGGGUCUCCAUCUGGAGGGACGCAAGUGUUCUGGAACCAGACAGGGGUGAUGCUUGCAAAACACUGUGAACGCACUCAGUGCCACUGAAUCGUUCACUUUAAAAUGGCUAAUGCGGGGGGCGCCUGGGUGGUUCAGUCAGAUAAGCAUCUGGCUUUGGCUCAGGUCACGAUCUCACGGUCCGUGGGUUCGAGCCCCGCGUCGGGCUCUGUGCUGACAUCUCAGAGCCCGGAGCCUGCUUCGGAUUCUGUGUCUCCCUCUCCCUGUUCCUGCCCCACUGGCACUCCAUCUCUCUCGCUCUCAAAGAUAAAGAUUAAAAAAAUAAAAUAGAGUAAAAUAAAAUAAAUAAAUAUAAAAUAAAAAUAAAAUGGCUAAUUUUAUGCCGGGUAGAUUUCACCUGAAUUAAAAAAAAAAAAAAAAAAAAAAAAGCUACUGCAGGCUCAUGGUUUGUAUGAUGAGUAAAAAUGGAAGAAGUGUGGCCACCGAGGACCGCUGCUGGCAGGGGGUCUCCGGCAGGUGUUGGUGUCCGUGUUCUUGGCCGGGAUGCUGUCCUGCACCUGCCAGUCUCUCCCUGGGGACCGGCACUUUGUUGACCCGGCUGCCCACCAGGAAGGCAGGAUUCCCCACGCUUUCUCCACGCAGAGGCCGCACCUGGCCACUGAGGGCGUCGGCACGGAUGGAACCCGGAACUCACUUUCCCUUUUUAAUGGUAUUCCUGCCCAGCAGCGGGUCCAGCACGGGGUCCACGGUUUCGCCAAUGUUCUCGAUGAGCAAGGUGUGCCCUUCGGAAAUGGCUUGCUCGAUGAUGUCCAGGUAGCUGCGGGACGACAUGGGGGCAUUUAAUGCGGGGGGCUCAGUGACGGCACCGCUGGGUGCCCCAGGGACAGCUGUCAGAGCAAGAAGGCACCUAAAGACGAGCGGCCGAGGGGCCGGCAGUGCAUCCCCUCUGCGACCCGCCUUCCCCGAGGGGCGCUCCCCUCCGGGCCUAUGGGAGCACAGCUCUGUUCUCACUUCUGUGUGUGGCUCCAUGUCCCCAGUGCUCCAGGAAGGCGCACGGGGUGGCCUUAGUGACCGUCUGUAGCAAGGAAGCCAGCCCCGCUAGAGAUAAGAAAUGAGAAAAUGACCAGCCGGAAGCCUCUCGGCCAGCACACGGCCGGGUGGGACGCAGCCCGGGCUGGAGCCCAGGCGAACGCUUCCUGCCCGCAGCUGCGGCGGGUACUGGGGGGAAGAGAGGAGAGCCCCGAGUUUGGUUCUUCACUCUCGCCGCUGUUCCCCAAGGCCAAAUGUGGGAAAACAAAUCCACCUGCAGGCCAGCAUCUGUAUUUCAAGAUCAUCCAUCCGUUUAACAAGGACAAAACACCCCAGGUGACUUUCCCCACACAGGGGCCCAGCGGCCUGUGGCUACGCUUAGAGCCCGCCCCUGCCCCCGCCCCUCCGGCUCCUGCCUGCCGCCAUCGCGCACCUCUUCUGUCCCAGGCGGAUGGCUUUCAGUUCGCGGCCGUAUUUGUUUUUGAUCCACUUGAUUCCUUGCAGCUGGGCGUCCACGAUGAGGGGCCAGCGCUCUGUGUUGCACAGGAUGGUGGCAUUCUCAGUGGACAUGCGGUCACUGGGGAGACCUUGGUUGUUCCAAGUGGCCACGUCCGCGUCAUCGGUCAGUAGGCUCAAGGGGUCCAGACCUUCCGUGAUCGGGAUGGGGACCUGCCAGGGGGGAGCACUAGUUCUCAGAAGAGGUGAUGUGGCCUUACUGCCCCGCGGGAAACGGCUCUCCAAGUGACACGGUAGGUCUGUGGUUAGACCACGGACGAGCCGUGUCGUCUGGAAGACAGCCAAGCGGCUGACAGACCCCCUGGGAACCCGCCAAGAAGGGCAGCAGCACGCUGGGCCACAAUUUAUUUACUUUAGAGCGAGGGCACCAGCAGGUGCACGUGUGAGUAAGCCGGCAGGGGCAGAGAGCGAGAGAGAGAGAGUCCCGGGCAGGCUCCACGCUCGUGGCAGAGCCUGACACGGGGGGCUCAGUCCCACGACCCUGGGAUCAUGACCUGCGGCUGAAAUCAAGAGUCGGAUGCUCAACCAGCUGAGUCACCCAGGAGUCUCUGGGCCACAGUUGAAACCCGCAAUGGCCAGAGCGUCCGUGAGUGUGGCAUUUGGCUGGGUCUGCCCUGCCAGGGGCCUCCCCAAGUUUCCUGAGCCACGAACGCAACCCAACCUCUUACCUUUAACUUAUUGAUAUAAGGGAUCCAAAAUCUCUCCAUCAGCUCGUUGCGGUAUUUCUUGGUGAAGUAGCCCAUGUAGGAGACGAAGGCGGAAAUCAGCAGGACGUCCCCGCACAGGGUGACCCCCUGGCUUUUGAAGUUCUUCACCGACUCAGCCCAGCGGAUGUUUUCCGAUGCCAAUCCCCCUACCAGCCUGAAUGGAAACACGAGGUGGCGACUAGAACACACAAAAUGAUGGGUGUGGCCCCAGUCCCUUUGGACAGCCCUGCUCUGGAAGCCCCGGAAGCCGGCGCCCACACCACGGGCGCUUCUCCUGCGCCUCCGCCAGCUCGGCAUUCGCCUCCUCCAGGGCCUGCCUCUUGGGGGCCACGUCACAAUACACCUCGUAGAAGCGCACGAUGUUGAUGCACCAGGAGCACAGGCCCGCGGCGGCCGUGGACUU